GACCGCUCCGGUGGCCUAAUGGUUGGAGCGUCUGCCUCGGAUGCGGAAGGUCGUGGGAUCGAUCCUCGGUUGAGUCA